AUGGAUCACAACCUAGGCAUCAUUUUCUGGAACGUGCGUGGGCUAAAUAGUCGUGCCAAGCGCACCGUUGUCCACACGAUCAUAUCCUCUGAUGAACCUUGUAUUGCAUGCCUCUCAGAAACGAAACUUGAUUCAGUCUUGUUGUCAUAUGUUAUGGAAACCUUGGGUGCCCCAUUUCAAUACUUCUACUUUCUCCCGGCUGACGGCACUAGAGGUGGCAUUCUUCUUGCAUGGCGUGCAGAUCGCCCUGCGCAAUCCUAUCAUGGGCCUUUACCACGUCGCUACUGCAGGAUGCUGCUAAUGCGACACUACGAUUAG
rnacentral:rRNA from 1 species